GAUGAACGCUAGCGGCAUGCUUAAUACAUGCAAGUCGAGGGGCAGCGCAGUGUAUCAAUCCUCGGGCGGCGACCGGCACACGGGUGCGGAACACGUACGCAACCUACCCAUAACUGAUUAAUAGCCCUCCGAAAGGAGGAUUAAUACAUCGUAACUUCAUGAAGCGGCAUCGCUUUAUUAAUAUAGCCCCGGCGGGUUUGGCUGGGCGUGCGCCUGAUUAGGUAGUUGGCGGGGUAACGGCACACCAAGCCUGCGAACAGUAACUGGUGUGAGAGCACGACCAGUCACACGGGGACUGAGACACGGGUCCGACUCCUACGAGAGGCAGCAGUAAGGAAUAUUGGUCAAUGGACGCAAGUCUGAACCAGCCAUGCCGCGUGAAGGAUGAAGGUCCUCUGGAUUGUAAACUUCUUUUGAAUGGGACGAAACCUCUUUUUCUUGAGAGACUGACGGUACCAUAAGAAUAAGCACCGGCUAACUACGUG
rnacentral:rRNA from 1 species